UACGAAGGGUGCAAGCGUUACUCGGAAUUACUGGGCGUAAAGGGUGUGUAGGUGGCUUGGCAAGUUAUCAGUGGCAAAUCGAGGCUCAACCUCGUGGAAGUUGGUAAUACUGUCCGGCUUGAGUAUAGAAGAGGUUAACGGAACUCUAUGUGGAGGGGUAAAAUCCAUAGAUAUAUAGAAGAACACCAAUAACGGCGAAGGCAGUUAACUAUUCUAUUACUGACACUGAGGCACGAAAGCGUGGGGAGCAAAACGG
rnacentral:rRNA from 1 species